rnacentral:rRNA from 1 species
UCUGGUUGAUCCUGCCAGUAGUGAUAUGCUUGUUUCAAAGAUUAAGCCAUGCAUGUCUAAGUAUAAGCGAACUUAUACGGUGAAACUGCGGAUGGCUCAUUAAAACAGUUUGAAUUUAUUUGAUGAAUGUAUGAGAAUACUACUUGGAUAACCGUAGUAAUUCUAGAGCUAAUACAUGCAACGACGCCCGACCGUUUCACUACGGAAGGGCUGUAUUUAUUGGAUACCAAAACCAUCCUUCCCUCGGGAAGUUUUGUUUGAUGAUUCACAAUAACUGAUCGGAUCGCCACUGUGGUGGCGACAGGUCAUUCAACAUUCUGCCCUAUCAGCUUUCGAUGGUUGUGUAGUGGACAACCAUGGCCAUAACGGGUAACGGAGAAUCAGGGUUCGAUUCCGGAGAAGGAGCUUGAGAAUUGGCUACUACAUCUAAGGAAGGCAGCAGGCGCGCAAAUUACCCAAUCCCGAUUCGGGGAGGUAGUGACAAAAAAUAACAAUACCGGGCCUUUUUGGGCUUGGUAAUUGGAAUGAGGGAGAGUUAAACGGACCAUCGAGUAUCCAUUGGAGGGCAAGUCUGGUGCCAGCAGCUGCGGUAAUACCAGCUCCAAUAGCGUAUAUUAAAGUUGUUGCAGUUAAAAAGCUCGUAGUUGGACUUGUGUGCGCUGUCCGCGGGUGGCCUGCGCCCAAAAGGGCGUUUCGGUUCGGCCCCGGUGGCGCCUUGAAAUCUGCAGCUGGGGGGACGUUGGCCUUAACUGGUCGGCGACCGCACGCCGGCUGCUCGGUUACUGUGAGAAAAUUAGAGUGUUCAAGGCAGGCAUUGGGUGCAAUUGAAUACAUUAGCAUGGAAUAAUAAAAUAUGGCUCCUGCCGUAUUUUGUUGGUUUUGACUGGUGGGAGUAAUGAUUGAUAGGGACGGUUGGGGGUGCUAGUAUUGAGCGGCCAGAGGUGAAAUUCAUGGAUUCGCUCAAGACUAACUUAUGCGAAAGCAUUCACCAAGGACGUCCUCUUUAAUCAAGAACGAAAGUUGGGGGAUCGAAGACGAUCAGAUACCGUCGUAGUCUCAACCAUAAACUAUGUCGACUUGGGAUCGGCGGUAGUUUUUUCAUUAAGACACUGUCGGGACCACGGGAGAAAUCAAAGUGUCUGGACUCUGGGGGAAGUAUGGUCGCAAGGCUGAAACUUGAAGGAAUUGACGGAAGGGCACCACCAGGAGUGGAGCCUGCGGCUUAAUUUGACUCAACACGGGGAAACUUACCAGGUCCAGAGAUGUAGAGGAUUGACAGAUUGAAGCUCUUUCUUGAUCACUUCGGUGGUGGUGCAUGGCCGUUCUUAGUUGGUGGAGUGAUUUGUCUGGUUA